rnacentral:lncRNA from 1 species
CCCAAAUAGACUCGAAAUACUCCCAAAAUACUUUGGCAAACCCAGAACACAAGCUGUGAGACAGAUUUGAAAGCUAGACUCAGCAAUUAACUGAAAACCUCAAUGAAAUAGUAAGUUCUUCAUUUGUUUAGGUUUUCUGGAGAUUUCUACUAUUUUUGGGAUUUUUUUUUUGGUUUGAAUCAAAAGAUAACUCUGAAACUGAAAAUGAAAGGAAAAAGUUCAGUAUGAGAUUUUUUAGGGCUCAAAAAUUAAAGACCCCUUCACAAGGCAAUGCACUC